GGCCUACCAUGGUGGUAACGGGUAACGGGGUGUUAGGGCACGACACCGGAGAGGGAGCCUGAGAAACGGCUACCACAUCCAAGGAAGGCAGCAGGCGCGCAAAUUACCCAAUCCCGACAUGGGGAGGUAGUGACAAUAAAUAACAAUACAGGGUUCUUUUGGAUCUUGUAAUUGGAAUGAGUACAAUUUAAAUCUCUUAACGAGGAACAAUUGGAGGGCAAGUCUGGUGCCAGCAGCCGCGGUAAUUCCAGCUCCAAUAGCGUAUAUUAAAGUUGUUGCAGUUAAAAAGCUCGUAGUUGAAUUUCGGGAUCAAGGAAUCGGUCAUGCCUCGGUAUGUACUGGUUUUAUUGGUUCUCACCUUCUAAAGAACCAUAAUGUCAUUCAUUUGAUGUUAUGGGGAAUUAGGACUGUUACCUUGAAAAAAUUAGAGUGUUUAAAGCAGGCUUACGCUUGAAUACAUUAGCAUGGAAUAAUGAAAUAGGACAUCAGAUUCUAUUUUGUUGGUUUCUAGGAUCGAUGUAAUGAUUAAUAGGGAUAGUUGGGGGCAUUAGUAUUCAAUUGUCAGAGGUGAAAUUCUUGGAUUUAUUGAAGACUAACUACUGCGAAAGCAUUUGCCAAGGAUGUUUUCAUUAAUCAAGAACGAAAGUUAGGGGAUCGAAGACGAACAGAUACCGUCGUAGUCUUAACCAUAAACUAUGCCGACUAGGGAUCGGAUGAUGUUAAUUUUAUAAUGACUCAUUCGGCACCUUACGGGAAACCAAAGUGUUUGGGUUC
rnacentral:rRNA from 1 species